rnacentral:rRNA from 1 species
GUGCCAGCAGCCGCGGUAAUACGUAGGGUGCGAGCGUUAAUCGGAAUUACUGGGCGUAAAGCGUGCGCAGGCGGCUUUGCAAGACAGAUGUGAAAUCCCCGGGCUCAACCUGGGAACUGCAUUUGUGACUGCAAGGCUAGAGUACGGUAGAGGGGGAUGGAAUUCCGCGUGUAGCAGUGAAAUGCGUAGAUAUGCGGAGGAACACCAAUGGCGAAGGCAAUCCCCUGGACCUGUACUGACGCUCAUGCACGAAAGCGUGGGGAGCAAACAGGAUUAGAUACCCCUGGUAGUCC